UGGGGAAUUUUGGACAAUGGGCGAAAGCCUGAUCCAGCAAUGCCGCGUGUGUGAAGAAGGCCUUCGGGUUGUAAAGCACUUUUGUCCGGAAAGAAAUCCUUGGCUCUAAUACAGUCGGGGGAUGACGGUACCGGAAGAAUAAGCACCGGCUAACUACGUGCCAGCAGCCGCGGUAAUACGUAGGGUGCAAGCGUUAAUCGGAAUUACUGGGCGUAAAGCGUGCGCAGGCGGUUUGCUAAGACCGAUGUGAAAUCCCCGGGCUCAACCUGGGGACUGCAUUGGUGACUGGCAGGCUAGAGUAUGGCAGAGGGGGGUAGAAUUCCACGUGUAGCAGUGAAAUGCGUAGAGAUGUGGAGGAAUACCGAUGGCGAAGGCAGCCCCCUGGGCCAAAUACUGACGCUCAUGCACGAAAAGCGUGGGGAGCAAACAGGAUUAGAUACCCUGGUAGUCCACGCCCUAAAACGAUGUCAACUAGUUGUUGGGGAUUCAUUUCCUUAGUAACGUAGCUAACGCGUGAAGUUGACCGCCUGGGGAGUACGGUCGC
rnacentral:rRNA from 1 species